rnacentral:rRNA from 1 species
UGGGGAAUCUUGCACAAUGGGCGCAAGCCUGAUGCAGCAAUGCCGCGUGAGUGAAGAAGGCUCUUGGGUUGUAAAGCUCUUUCGACAGGAAAGAAGUGCCCCUAGGUAAAUAAUCUAGGGGUGUGACGGUACCUGGAGAAGAAGCACCGGCUAACUCCGUGCCAGCAGCCGCGGUAAUACGGAGGGUGCAAGCGUUGUUCGGAAUCAUUGGGCGUAAAGCGCACGUAGGCGGGUUUGUAAGUUGAUUGUGAAAUCCCAGGGCUCAACCUUGGAAUUGCAGUCAAAACUGCAGAUCUUGAAUACUUGAGAGGGUGGGAGAAUUCCUGGUGGAGAAGUGAAAUUCGUAGAGAUCAGGAGGAAUACCGGAGGCGAAGGCGCCUGCCUGGCAAGAUAUUGACGCUGAGGUGCGAAAGCGUGGGUAGCAAACAGG